rnacentral:rRNA from 1 species
UGGUGGAGUGAUUUGUCUGGUUUAUUCCGAUAACGAACGAGACUCUGGCCUGCUAACUAGUGACUGAAUCUUCAUUCGUUCACGUCGCUUCUUAGAGGGACAAACGGCGUAUAGUCGUAUGAAAUAGAGCAAUAACA